UCCUGACAUGAUUAACAACAAGUUCUACCCCAUGGUAGACGUUCGGGAUGUCGCUGAGGCAAUGCUCUUGUUGUACAACAAGGCAGGGACAUCCGAGAGAUACUUAUGCUCAUUGGACCAAAUGGACCUAAAGGAUUUGCUGGGGAUUAUGAAGACCAUGUUCCCUAACUACAGUUACGCAAACAAGAUGGUUGAUGUGGAUUUUAACGUUACAUUUACUUCUGAUAAGCUCAAGAACUUGGGGUGGAAGCCAAGGAAGUUGGAGGAGAUGCUCACGGAAAGUGUCAAGUCGUAUGAUAAAGCAGGUCUUCUCCGUGUUUCAGAUGGCGAACCUUGCCGACUUCCCGUCUUCUUCCGCGCACCACCUGUCUAGGAGUGGAAAUGAUAAUAUUUGUUCCAUUGAUUUUGUAUUUUUCUUGAAACAUUGUCAAAUAUAUUUUGGACAAUUGGUGUGUAGGAUCAUUAGCUGGCCCAUUCAGGAUGGAUGCAGAUUCAUCAUGUGUAUGUUUGAUGUUUUAGCUAAUCUAUCAAACCAUGGGCAGUUGCAUGUUA